rnacentral:rRNA from 1 species
UACGUAGGGUGCAAGCGUUGUCCGGAAUUAUUGGGCGUAAAGAGCGUGUAGGCGGCCCGAUUAGUCCGCUGUGAAAGUCCAGGGCUCAACCCUGGAAUGCCGGUGGAUACUGUCGGGCUAGAGUCCGGAAGAGGAGAGUGGAAUUCCCGGUGUAGCGGUGAAAUGCGCAGAUAUCGGGAAGAACACCAGUGGCGAAGGCGGCUCUCUGGGACGGUACUGACGCUGAGACGCGAAAGCGUGGGGAGCAAACAGG